rnacentral:rRNA from 1 species
AUGAACGCUAGCUACAGGCUUAACACAUGCAAGUCGAGGGGCAGCAUGACCUAGCAAUAGGUUGAUGGCGACCGGCGCACGGGUGAGUAACACGUAUCCAACCUACCGGUUAUUCCGGGAUAGCCUUUCGAAAGAAAGAUUAAUACCGGAUAGUAUAACGAGAAGGCAUCUUUUUGUUAUUAAAGAAUUUCGAUAACCGAUGGGGAUGCGUUCCAUUAGUUUGUUGGCGGGGUAACGGCCCACCAAGACAUCGAUGGAUAGGGGUUCUGAGAGGAAGGUCCCCCACAUUGGAACUGAGACACGGUCCAAACUCCUACGGGAGGCAGCAGUGAGGAAUAUUGGUCAAUGGACGAGAGUCUGAACCAGCCAAGUAGCGUGAAGGAUGACUGCCCUAUGGGUUGUAAACUUCUUUUAUAUGGGAAUAAAGUGAGCCACGUGUGGCUUUUUGUAUGUACCAUACGAAUAAGGAUCGGCUAACUCCGUGCCAGCAGCCGCGGUAAUACGGAGGAUCCGAGCGUUAUCCGGAUUUAUUGGGUUUAAAGGGAGCGUAGGCGGACUAUUAAGUCAGCUGUGAAAGUUUGCGGCUCAACCGUAAAAUUGCAGUUGAUACUGGUCGUCUUGAGUGCAGUAGAGGUAGGCGGAAUUCGUGGUGUAGCGGUGAAAUGCUUAGAUAUCACGAAGAACUCCGAUUGCGAAGGCAGCUUACUGGACUGUAACUGACGCUGAUGCUCGAAAGUGUGGGUAUCAAACAGGAUUAGAUACCCUGGUAGUCCACACAGUAAACGAUGAAUACUCGCUGUUUGCGAUAUACAGCAAGCGGCCAAGCGAAAGCAUUAAGUAUUCCACCUGGGGAGUACGCCGGCAACGGUGAAACUCAAAGGAAUUGACGGGGGCCCGCACAAGCGGUGGAGCAUGUGGUUUAAUUCGAAGCAACGCGAAGAACCUUACCAAAUCUUGACAUCCUUUGACAACUCUAGAGAUAGAGCUUUCCCCUUCGGGGGACAAAGUGACAGGUGGUGCAUGGUUGUCGUCAGCUCGUGUCGUGAGAUGUUGGGUUAAGUCCCGCAACGAGCGCAACCCUUAUCUUUAGUUACUAACAGGUCAUGCUGAGGACUCUAGAGAGACUGCCGUCGUAAGAUGUGGGGAAGGUGGGGAUGACGUCAAAUCAGCACGGCCCUUACGUCCGGGGCUACACACGUGUUACAAUGGGGGGUACAGAAGGCAGCUACACAGCGAUGUGAUGCUAAUCCCAAAAGCCUCUCUCAGUUCGGAUUGGAGUCUGCAACCCGACUCCAUGAAGCUGGAUUCGCUAGUAAUCGCGCAUCAGCCACGGCGCGGUGAAUACGUUCCCGGGCCUUGUACACACCGCCCGUCAAGCCAUGAAAGCCGGGGGUACCUGAAGUCCGUAACCGCAAGGAGCGGCCUAGGGUAAAACUGGUAAUUGGGGCU